rnacentral:lncRNA from 1 species
CUGGAAGCUGGUGUGAGAACGCAGGGAAGGGCCCGUGCUGCGGCGCUGGCUCCAGAGCGUCGAUUGUGGGCAUUUCUUCCCAGCUCUGUGGUCCAUGAGGUCACUACGUGAGUGGUCAAUUUUUUGUGUCAACUCGACGGGGCCGGGGGCGGGCCCAGAUAUUCAGUCAAAUGUGAUCCUGGGCGUGUCUAUGAGGGCGCUUCUGGAUGAGAUUACAUUUGAACCGGUAGACCGGUCCACCAGAUCAUCCUCCCCCAAGUGGGUGGGCUUCAGAGGCCACAGUUUAGUUCUGCCGUCACCGUUUCCUCUUGGCCAAGAGACCUGGAUGUGGCAAGACGAGCAGAGGCUGCACCCUGGAGUCAUUCCCGUCCCUCCCAACCUUUCACCCGGCUGGGAUGGUCCUUCAUUUUUCCUUUAUCUUGGGGGCCCUGGGGUGCAGAGGGCCGUGUUAAUGACCCUUCUCUAUACUCAGUCCAGGGCCCCUGCUGUCCACGUCCAUCCUCGUGUUCAUACCAACUCGUAUGUUUGCCACAUGCGUGUGACACGUGUGUGACGCGUGUGCCACUGUACAGGACCCGGAGCGCUAUUUCCAGUGAGAGGAAAACCGGUGACUUUUAACUAGAAGCCGACUUUCGACAGCAGGAGCGUGCCAUGUGCACGCGAAGAGCAGGUCCAGCUGAACAUGGUCUUCCCAGGUGAUGACAAGCAAAAGGGUGCAGUCACUCGGGAAGCCGGCCGGCCACUGUCCACUGUCACAGCAGCCAGGCAAGUGUGGUACUCAGAGCCCCGCAUGCAAACCUCGGGAUACGACGCAGGAUUUUUAAAGGCUGGAUCUGAAAGCCACUAGAUCAUGGGAUUCUAAAAACGUCUGUUCUAAAUUGUCAGCACAAUGCUCAAGGCCAACUGCUCCGUGCCAGGAAAGGGAUCCCCGGAGCACAUGGGCAGGUGCCAGAAGGGCUGAUGAAAUGCUGCAGUUUCGGGCAGUGCUUCCAGGAAACCAGUCCCAUGAGAUUGCUCCCUGUAGCGAGAUGGGCGAUGCCUGCACAAGGCCUGGGGACACUGUCCACAUCCACUGAGGAUGUGACUGGGUCCCUGGAGUGGGAAACAGCAGACCUGCCCAUCGCUGAGACCGUGUCAAACUAAGGCCCAGAGCUCUGGCCUCGUCCUUUUAGGGACAGAGAGUUGUGACUUGGUCUGGGAAGAGAAGCAGGUGGCAAGGUGGGGAGUGACAUCCCUCCCUAGAGAGGGGAAGCCCCACCCCUCCAGCCUCUGGUCCAACAGGCAGCAGUACCAGUCCUCUGAGCCGGCUGCCUCUUCUCACAUCUCUCUCCAGAGUGCGCUUGCCAGCGAAUAAAGGUUUAGAGUAAUCAGGCCCCAAAUAUGGCUUGUGAUUGAUUUACACUAAAAAAUUAUUGUCUGAAAUUCACAUUUGACUGUGCAUCCUGUGUUUUAAAAAAUUUUAUCGAUGUCAUCCUUUUUAAAAAGCAGUUGUAGGUUCACAGCAAACAGGAGCAGAACGUACAGAGAAUUCUCACAUCCCACAUACCCUCUAUCGUCCCCUCCCCAACCAGCCUCUCCCACAGCCCACACCCCUCGCCAGAGGGCUGUGUUUGUUAUAAGCCAUGAACCUACAGUGACACGUCAUCACCCGGAGUCCACAGCUGACCUCGGGGUUCACUCUUGGCGGUAUGGGCGGAUGUAUAAUGACCUGUAUCCAUCUGGAGGAGGGUCGGCCCUAAAUCCAAUGACGAGUGUCCUUAUGAGAGGAGAAGGCCCUGUGAAGAUGGAGGCAGGCUUUGGAAGGAUGUGUCUACAAGCCAAGGGAUGCCACGGCUAGCUGGCUGUCACCAGACCCUGGGAGAGAACGCUGGAACGAUUCUCCCUCAGCCUCCAGAAGGACCCCACCCUGCUGACACCUGGAUUUCAGACUCCUGGUCUCCAGAACUGAGAGAGGAUCAAUUUCUGUCGUCUGAAGCCACUCAGUUUGUGGGCAUGCGUUACGGUCACCCUAGGACACCGAAACAGGACGUGAUGAGGAAAGGGAGAUAAACACGUCAGUCAAGGUACAGCCUCCGUACAAGAGAGCCACACACGCGGCAAACCCGAAACCGUUUCUAGAGGUAGACCAGGGAAGACAACAUGUGUGCUGUUUAUCACAACAGGAAAACUAAACAACAAGGACAAGAAGGGAGAAGUGGCCACACGGCACAGAUAAAAAUGUGAGAAAUGCUAUAUUUCACAAUUUUAUCUGUUCUGCCACUCUGACUCAGUGAUCAAUGAGGAUCUGUCUUUUUUCCACCCAAAAAGAACAUGUUGCAUAAGCUCAGGCUUCCAGGGACCAGCGGAAAGCAGAAAACACCAUCUGAAGCUCUCCCCAGUCAGCUCAACGAGUGGCCCCCGUUCCCCAGACGGCGUCCGCGAAGCCGUAGAGAUGAGCUGAUGUCUGCUCACCCCGGGAGGGAGGCGGGGGCGCAGGUACUGACGGUGCCAGUUCAGGGGUUCAAGAGAAAAUGCCGGCAGGCGGCUUCAGCAAAGACUUAGAAUUUGUCGGCAUCAGUGCUCUUUCCCGGAGAAAAGCCUUCUUGGAAAUUCUGCGUUUUCUUAAGGAACACGAAGAACAUUUCCAAGGGCGUGUUAGGCCUCAGCCUUUCAGAACAACCCUGUUUGCUAAGCUUUGUGCCUCGCCCAUCUCUGCCAGUCAGCACCUGAAGGUGUCCCCAGGGCAGGGGAGGGAGGGAAUUUGAGAUCAGAGGGCCACCGUGGUGUUUGGGGACACUGGAAAUGACGGGUGGCCCUCCAUGCCCUGGACACCUGGGUCUGGGCUGUUGUCUCCUUCACAUGUGGUCCCUCCUGCUUUGCUUCAUCAGUGGCAGGACAGGGUUACCUCUGCAGCGAGCCCCACUGGGCCACGUCCACGGCAACCUUAAUAGAGAGGGGCAGCGCCAGUCUGACGGACAACCCACGUGUUCGGCAUCCAGGGACGCCACGAUGAAGUGCCCACCUCACACAGCGCUCCCUUCCCCCCGUGUCCUGAAACCCCCUCCUCUGGGGAGCCCCAGACAAUGCAUUGCUUCCUCCACGGUUCUUCCCCGAACACGCAGCCUGUGACCCUGUUACAAUACUUAGCGCACAGCCAGUGGUCCCGUCAGGAGACAGAAACCACACAGCUGUUUUAGCAGAGACAAUUUAAUAAAGAAGAAUGUAGCAGGAUUGCCAUCUGGGUAUAAAGUUAUUGGCACCUUGUUUAUAAAGGUCCUGUGAGAACCCCAAGGCAUCACGGGGUAGAACUGUAGGCAGCAGCUACCUCCUAAAGAGAAGGGGUUGGAGGGAUGAUAACGUGGAAGCCGGGAAGGGAGACCCCACGGUGCUCAACGUCUGACCUCUGGGGAGGAGACACCGGCCAGCCAAUGGGGUGGGUGUCUCUGAGGGGGACAGUGUCACUGAUUCUGCAAGUAAUGGAAGUAUGCAGACUGCAUCAACUGCGGUGUGAGAAGGAACAGCCACUGCUACAGUGAAGAAGUGUCACUGGGGAUGCUCCCAGAAACAGGGAGCAGACAGGAAGGACCCGUCCCUCCACCUCCAGCCCUGCAGCCUCCUCCGGCGUCCACUCCCGGCGGAGCCCCCCGGGGAACAGCUGGCGUGGUUUGCAGCAUCCCAGCCCCGGCUUCACAGGGCGGGCCGUGGAACUGAGGUUUGGAACCGGGAGCCCACAGCUUUAUCACUGGCACGGUCCUCUCCUUCGCUUCUCAGCUUCCAGACACACCUUUUACUCCUAUCUGAACUCCCCUGCAGAAACAGCAAGGACUUUGUGUGUCUGUCCAACAAGCUUCCCACAGCUAAUACCCUUCAUGCAGAUGAAGGCGUUCUCACCCUCUCCCCGACGUGAGGAGCUGCGGGGCCCACGCAUCUCGUGUCCAUCUUUGGGAGGUGUCACACUGCAGCUCUGGGCUCCAUCACAUACUUCCCAAAUCCAGUCACAGGCUGCACUGGUUCCCUACGGCUGCUGUUACAAAUUGCUGCAAAUUUAGUGGCUUCAGACGACACAGAUUUAUAUCUUGCAGCUCUGGAGCAGCUCAGAAGUCUGACCGGGGUCUGGCUGGGCUUAAAUUGCCAGGGCUGUGUUCCUUCUGGAGGCUCUUGGGGAAAAUGUAUUUCCAGCCUUUUCCAGCUUCUGGAGGCUGCCCCAUUUCUCGCCUCCUGGGCUCUUCCUCCAUCUUUAAAGGCAGAAAUACUCCAUCUUUCUCUCCACUCUUCUUUUCUGAAUCCCUAAGGUCUUCCCGGAGUCUGACACAGCAGGACGCUCAGUAAAUACAAGGCAGCGGAUUCUUAUAAGUGUGGCUCCGUGUGAGUCCUUCUUUUCCAGGAGAUUAUAAGCACCAGAGAACCAGGCUGUGUCUACAUCACCAAGAGGGCUGCCUCCAUCAAAUCCAGGCACGAUUGGACCUACGUGCCUGAAACAAGCAUAUCGAAGAUUAAUACGUGUUUUUCAAUUGGCUUAAAUUUUUUCGGUAAAGCAGUCAGCAUGUUAACCUCCCUUCUGUUAAAGAAAUGAUCAAGAAUUCAUACCCUCGUAAGAAUUAGUUCAUAAAUUCUCCAUCAAAGAGUAGAAUGGGAAAAGAAAGAGGGAUAGUGUGAAAGCACAAAGCAUGUUGUAGAGGGUUAAAUGGGGCCCCCACCCCAAAUAUGUCUAAAUCCUAACCCCCAUACUUGGGAACGAUGACCUUAUUUGGAAAUAGGAUUUUUGCAGAUGAAAUUAACUUCAGGGUCUCAAGAUGGGAUCGCCCUGGACUUAUGGUGGGUCCUAAAUCCAGGGAUGGGUGUCCUUAUAAUAACUGGAGAAGACACAGAGCCACGGUGGGGACGGUGACGUGAAGACAGAGGCAGAGAUUGGAGAGCUCCGUCUACCAGCCAGGGACCGCCAAGGGUCGCCGGCAACCGCCAGAAGCUGGAAGAGGCGAGGACGGAUUCACCCCUGGAGCCGCCAGCAGGAGCGCAGCCCUGCUGACACCUUAUUUGGGACUCUGGCCAGAGUUCUGGUGAGAGAAUAUGUUUCUGAUGUUGUUAAACCACCCAGUUUGUGGUUCUUUGUUACACCAGCCACAGGAAACGAAUGCACGUGCCUAGCGGGACAGUGGACCAGAUGAAAUGGCUCAAUGUGGGACCCUUCUGGGGGCCAUCAGGUAGCAGAGGGGGAAGUGAGGAGAGAGGGGCUCAGGAAGACACCAUAAAAAGGAGCAGUUUCUGUCUGCAGACGCACGACUCCCCCGGAGAGCGAGGAGCGGGGCGGCAAUUACAGGAUUUGAACGUUGCUGCCGCAUUUGGGCACCAUGACCAACGGAAGCUUGGAGAGAAGACUUUGCCUUGGCUUCCUGGUGUGAGUAUAAAAAGUGGAGGAGAACGUGCUGGGAAGGUGCUCUGUUCUGCCGGGAGACCAUCGCCGGGCAGCCCCUGCCCACAGGCGAGUUGGGCGGCAAACACGUUUUUUUAACGUGACAACAUUUUCAACAAAAUUUUAACGUCACGUGUUGACAUGGUGCUAUGAAGCGCUGUCAUGGGAUUAAGAGGGAACUCAGAGGGCAGCCAUUGCAUGCUUGGUCCACAUCAGCAGUCACCCCGUAAGAGCCACGGAGAAGACAGCAAGUGGUGGCCCCCUUUUUACUUGUCUGCUCUCCACCUCCAAGGGCUGCAGGAUCUUGAACCUCGCGACAGAACCUUGUUCUGUGUUCUAGUAAUCUGUUACUGGGUAAGAACCACCCCCGAAAUGUAGUACCUUCAAACAGCAUCACUGAUUUUCCCUUCCAGGUGUGACUGGGGGUGAUGUGGUUGCAGCCAGCUGGUGGUUGUGCUGGGUUUUAUCAGAGGUUUCUUCCCUCGCACGGAUGGCGUUUGAUGCUGGCUGUUGGCUAGAACUCCAUCUUUCUCCAUGUGGCCUGGGCUUCCCCCCAGCAUGGCGGCUGGAUUCCGAGAGAGACGGGGAGAUGCAGGAGCUUGGUCGCCCCUGAAGAUCUAUCCUUCUGGCCUCAGAAGUCAGGCAACCCCACAUUUGCCACAUUCUGUUCGUUAAGAGCAAGUCAUUAAGAUGACCCUUAUUCAAGGGAUGGGAACAGGGCUCCAACUCUUGAUGGUGGGGUGUUGAGAAGAAUUUUCAAUGUUUUGGAGUCACCACCCUUUCCUUCUGGAUGUAGUGGAAGGAAGGAAGUGGGGUGGAUUGGCCCCUUAGAGAUUGCAGACAGAAUUCCGAAAACAGCCUCAUGGGAGUGGAGAGCCCACAG